GUGGUAGCUUAGUGGUAGAGUGCUUGCCUUGCGUGUGUGGGUUUCUGGGUUUGAUUCUCAGGACCACA
rnacentral:tRNA from 1 species